GAUGAACGCUGGCGGCGUGCCUAAUACAUGCAAGUCGAGCGAACAGAUAAGGAGCUUGCUCCUUUUACGUUAGCGGCGGACGGGUGAGUAACACGUGGGUAACCUACCUAUAAGACUGGGAUAACUUCGGGAAACCGGAGCUAAUACCGGAUAACAUUUGGAACCGCAUGGUUCUAAAGUGAAAGAUGGUUUUGCUAUCACUUAUAGAUGGACCCGCGCCGUAUUAGCUAGUUGGUAAGGUAACGGCUUACCAAGGCGACGAUACGUAGCCGACCUGAGAGGGUGAUAGGCCACACUGGAACUGAGACACGGUCCAGACUCCUACGGGAGGCAGCAGUAGGGAAUCUUCCGCAAUGGGCGAAAGCCUGACGGAGCAACGCCGCGUGAGUGAUGAAGGGUUUCGGAUCGUAAAACUCUGUUAUUAGGGAAGAACAAAUGUGUAAGUAACUGUGCACGUCUUGACGGUACCUAAUCAGAAAGCCACGGCCAACUACGUG
rnacentral:rRNA from 1 species